UGGGGAAUAUUGCACAAUGGGCGCAAGCCUGAUGCAGCCAUGCCGCGUGUGUGAAGAAGGCCUUCGGGUUGUAAAGCACUUUCAGCGAGGAGGAAGGGUUCAGUGUUAAUAGCACUGUUCAUUGACGUUACUCGCAGAAGAAGCACCGGCUAACUCCGUGCCAGCAGCCGCGGUAAUACGGAGGGUGCAAGCGUUAAUCGGAAUUACUGGGCGUAAAGCGCACGCAGGCGGUUUGUUAAGUCAGAUGUGAAGUCCCCGCGCUUAACGUGGGAACUGCAUUUGAAACUGGCAAGCUAGAGUCUUGUAGAGGGGGGU
rnacentral:rRNA from 1 species